rnacentral:rRNA from 1 species
AUUGAACGCUGGCGGCAGGCCUAACACAUGCAAGUCGAACGAGUGGCGGACGGGUGAGUAAUGUCUGGGAAACUGCGUGAUGGAGGGGUAUCACUACUGGAAACGGUAGCUAAUACCGCAUACCAUCGGAUGUGCCCAUAUGGGAUUAGCUAGUAGGUGGGGUAACGCCUCCCCUAGGCGACGAUCCCUAGCUGGUCUGAGAGGAUGACCAGCCACACUGGAACUGAGACACGGUCCAGACUCCGACGGGAGGCAGCAGUGGGGAAUAUUGCACAAUGGGCGCAAGCCUGAUGCAGCCAUGCCGCGUGUAUGAAGAAGGCCUUCGGGUUGUAAAGUACUUUCAGCGGGGAGGCGUUACCAGCAGAAGAAGCACCGGCUAACUUCGUGCCAGCAGCCGCGGUAAUUC